AGCAAAAGGAUGAAACUUUUUGAAAUCUGAAUCCUCUGUGUGGGAAAUCCCAUUUUUGGGUCUUCAAAGUUCUCUGAUUGCU
rfam:Corchorus capsularis cultivar CVL-1 contig08084, whole genome shotgun sequence.